rnacentral:rRNA from 1 species
UGAAGUACAUAUUCAUGCCACCUAGAGGAUGGCUAGGCUAUAGCAGCUGUGAAGGUCGUGGCAAGCUGCGAUAAGCCCCGGGGAGCCGCAAGUCAGGUAUUGAACCGGGGAUCACCUAAUGUGCCGAGAGGCACGCACACGCGGCGAACUGAAAAAUCUUAGUAGCCGCAGGAAAAGAAAGCGAAAGCGAUUCCGUUAGUAAAGCGAUUGAAACCGGAAGAGGGCAACCUGAAUCCCCAUUUGCAAAAAUGGCGGAGAUGUGGGACAGUAGCAUCCCAAUCACGAGUCGAGCGUUCUGGAAAGAACGGCCAUAGAGAGUGACAGCCUCGUAGAUUAAGUGAGAGGGAGUAGCUGUGAAGGAGUAGUUCUGGUUGAUUAUCCAGAGCGAAGACGGGGGCAUUAAACCCCAACCCUAAAUAUUGGCUAUAGACCGAUAGUGGACAAGUAGCGCGAGCGAAAGCUGAAAAGAACCCAUACCUAUGGGAUUGAAAAGAUCUGAAACUAGGUGGCGACAUGAAGGUAAGGCGUUAAAGUGAUGAUGCAUGCAGAAGCUGAAGCACGAAAGUGCCAUGCGAUGCGUGAGUAACAGCGUUUUACCAUUCUUCUUGAAGCAAGAGCCAGGGAGUGUAUUUGAGUGGCGAGCCGCGCAAGCGGCGUAGCGAAAGCGAGGGCGCGCAACAUGUGAGGCGCAUGGUAUGAAAAUGCCAAAGUCACUUUUUUACGACCCGAAGCCGUUGUGAACUACGCGAGACUAGGGCGAAGCUAGGCUAAAGCCUGGUGGAGGCCCGCAACCUGUCAUGGCAUGUCCUGUUGGGUGAGUUUCGGGUAGCGGCGAUAUACCAUUCGAACACGGCAAUAGCGGGUCCCCUCUGAAGUAUCUUUAGGAUAGCUCCGGGCGAGUUUGCAUGUGCGGUAGAGCUACCGAUCAAUUGGGGCGGAGUCGAAAGGCUCCACCAAUUUGUCAAACUCCGAAUGCAUAUGCUGCGUAGACCCCGGGAGUCGGCGAGGUUGGGUAAGCCAGCCCCGCGAGACUGCAAAGAUAGUGAAUGUGGUUAAGGUCCCAAAGUUCUGAUUGAGUGUCUUAAAGGCUGAACAUGACACAGACAGCCGGGAGGUAGGCUCAGAAGCAGCCACCCUUUAAAAAACGCGUAAUAGCGUACCGGUAGAGCCAUGUUUGGCUGAAGAUAUACGGGGCUAAAUCAGGCACCGAGACCACAUCGUGCGAUAAGCACGGGUAAGAGGGCAUGUGGCACGGCAAGAAGUAAGUUCGAGAGGACUUAUGGACCGUGCUAUAGGGAAAAUCCUGGUAUCAGUAACAUCAUAUAUGGGUGAGAAUCCCAUACACCGGAAGCACAAGGUUUUCUUCGCGACGCUCGUCAGCGGAGAGUUAGUCGAUCCUAAGUGCAAUGCUAAUCACAAUUGCACAAAAGGGAAGCUGGUUAAUAUUCCAGCACUUGGGAUGUAGGCGUGGCAACACAAGGUGGAUUUCUGACGGUUGGGGAUAGGUUCGAAAGAAAGUGCAAAGGGCUGCGGAGUCUCGUUAUGAGGAGAAGCAGCUAAAUGAACUAAUGAACUGAAUUCCUGACCCAGUGAAAAGGGAAUCCGCAACGAUCAGUCUAAACCGUACCUAGAACCAUUAGAGGUGCUGCUGGCUGAAAAGGCCAAGGUGUGACGGAAUAACCAAUCUUAGGGAAAUCGGCAAAAUAGUGGCGUAAGUUUUCGAGAAGCCAUGUCUGCGUAUAGGAUAUGCAGAUAUCAUUGACUAGGGGACAGCAACUGUUUAUCAAAAACACAACUCACCGCAAAGCGGAAACGCUAAGUACAGUGGGUGACGCCUGCUCACCGCCAGUACGUGAAGGCCCUUUACAAGGGGAGUAAGCGCUGGCAAAGAGCGGGAGUAACUCUGACUCUCUUGAGGUAGCGUAAUACCUCGUCACUUAAUAGGUGACUUGCAUGAAGGGCGUAAUGACUGUCCCACUGUCCCAAGAUUGGAUCCGGUGAACUUACUGCGCGGUGAAUAUGCCGCGAUCUCUCAGUGGGAAACGAAGUCUCCAUGAAUCUUGACUACAGCCUGUUGUUGUUGCAAUGCAAAUUAUGCAUAGCGUAAGUGGGAGCGUCGAUCCGGUUGCUCAGGCGGCCGGGGAGCGCCAAUGUAACACCACUCCUAGUUUGCCUUGCAGCUAACUCGCGAGAGGACAGCAGCAGGUGGGUAGUUGGACUGGACGGUUGCUCUCGAUAAAGAAACGAGAGUGGCCAACGCUCUGCUUAGGUGGAUUGGGAAUCCACCGGUAAGCAUAAAGGUAAAUGCAGGGCUGACUGUGUUCUUAAAAGCGUGGAACGCAGACUAGAAAUAGGGGCUUAGCGAACUUUGGUACCUCUUUUAAUGGGGGUCCAAGCUGUCAAAAAAGUUACUCUGGAGGUAACCGAUUCGUCGCCAGUAAGCGUCCACAGCGACCUGGCGGUUUGAUACAUCGAUAUGGGCUUACGAUAUCCUGGCCGUGCACAAGCGGCCAAGGGUUGGACUGCUCGUCCAUUAAAAUCGUACACGAGCUGAGUUCAGUCCGCCGCGAGGCAGGACGGUAGUAUCUACUGGGAGUGUCAGUGUCAGAGGGUAAGCUCCCCUCAAUACGAGAGGAACGGGGGAUCGGCGCCUCUAGUGUACCGGUUGUGAUUGCACUGCCGGGUAGCCACGCGCCAAAAGGAUAAGCCCUGAAAGCAUCUAAGGACGAAGCCAGACCCGAAACUAGACACUAGGUCGGCCGCAAUAGACGGCUUUGAUAGGACGGGUGCGUAAGCAGAGAGCGCAAGCGAUUUGCGAACAUACCGUUACUAAAGACUAAUUGUACGAUA